rnacentral:rRNA from 1 species
GGGUUGUGAGGUUAAGCGAACAAGCGUACACGGUGGAUGCCCUGGCAGUCAGAGGCGAUGAAGGACGUGCUAAUCUGCGAAAAGCGCCGGUAAGGUGAUAUGAACCGUUAUAACCGGCGAUGUCCGAAUGGGGAAACCCGGUGCACUUCGGUGCAUCAUCGUUAGCUGAAUACAUAGGCUAACGAGGCGAACCGGGGGAACUGAAACAUCUAAGUACCCCGAGGAAAAGAAAUCAACCGAGAUUCCCCCAGUAGCGGCGAGCGAACGGGGAACAGCCCAGAGCCUGAAUCAGCUUGUGUGUCAGUGGAACGGUCUGGAAAGGCCGGCGAUACAGGGUGACAGCCCCGUACACGAAGGCACACAGGCUGUGAGCUCGAUGAGUAGGGCGGGACACGUGAUAUCCUGUCUGAAGAUGGGGGGACCAUCCUCCAAGGCUAAAUACUCCUGACUGACCGAUAGUGAACCAGUACCGUGAGGGAAAGGCGAAAAGAACCCCGGCGAGGGGAGUGAAACAGAACCUGAAACCGUGUACGUACAAGCAGUGGGAGCCUUCGUAAGAGGGUGACUGCGUACCUUUUGUAUAAUGGGUCAGCGACUUAUAUUCUGUAGCAAGGUUAACCGUAUAGGGGAGCCGAAGGGAAACCGAGUCUUAAUUGGGCGUUAAGUUGCAGGGUAUAGACCCGAAACCCGGUGAUCUAGCCAUGGGCAGGUUGAAGGUUGGGUAACACUAACUGGAGGACCGAACCGACUAAUGUUGAAAAAUUAGCGGAUGACCUGUGGCUGGGGGUGAAAGGCCAAUCAAACCGGGAGAUAGCUGGUUCUCCCCGAAAGCUAUUUAGGUAGCGCCUCGUGAACUCAUCUCCGGGGGUAGAGCACUGUUUCGGCUAGGGGGCCAUCCCGGCUUACCAACCCGAUGCAAACUGCGAAUACCGGAGAAUGUUAUCACGGGAGACACACGGCGGGUGCUAACGUCCGUCGUGAAGAGGGAAACAACCCAGACCGCCAGCUAAGGUCCCAAAGUCAUGGUUAAGUGGGAAACGAUGUGGGAAGGCCCAGACAGCCAGGAUGUUGGCUUAGAAGCAGCCAUCAUUUAAAGAAAGCGUAAUAGCUCACUGGUCGAGUCGGCCUGCGCGGAAGAUGUAACGGGGCUAAACCAUGCACCGAAGCUGCGGCAGCGACACUAUGUGUUGUUGGGUAGGGGAGCGUUCUGUAAGCCUGUGAAGGUGUGCUGUGAGGCAUGCUGGAGGUAUCAGAAGUGCGAAUGCUGACAUAAGUAACGAUAAAGCGGGUGAAAAGCCCGCUCGCCGGAAGACCAAGGGUUCCUGUCCAACGUUAAUCGGGGCAGGGUGAGUCGACCCCUAAGGCGAGGCCGAAAGGCGUAGUCGAUGGGAAACAGGUUAAUAUUCCUGUACUUGGUGUUACUGCGAAGGGGGGACGGAGAAGGCUAUGUCGGCCGGGCGACGGUUGUCCCGGUUUAAGCGUGUAGGCUGACUUUCCAGGCAAAUCCGGAAGGUUAAGGCUGAGGCGUGAUGACGAGGCACCACGGUGCUGAAGUGACAAAUGCCCUGCUUCCAGGAAAAGCCUCUAAGCAUCAGGUAACAUCAAAUCGUACCCCAAACCGACACAGGUGGUCAGGUAGAGAAUACCAAGGCGCUUGAGAGAACUCGGGUGAAGGAACUAGGCAAAAUGGUGCCGUAACUUCGGGAGAAGGCACGCUGACAUGUAGGUGAAGCCCCUGCGGGUGGAGCUGAAGUCAGUCGAAGAUACCAGCUGGCUGCAACUGUUUAUUAAAAACACAGCACUGUGCAAACACGAAAGUGGACGUAUACGGUGUGACGCCUGCCCGGUGCCGGAAGGUUAAUUGAUGGGGUUAUCGCAAGAGAAGCUCCUGAUCGAAGCCCCGGUAAACGGCGGCCGUAACUAUAACGGUCCUAAGGUAGCGAAAUUCCUUGUCGGGUAAGUUCCGACCUGCACGAAUGGCGUAAUGAUGGCCAGGCUGUCUCCACCCGAGACUCAGUGAAAUUGAACUCGCUGUGAAGAUGCAGUGUACCCGCGGCAAGACGGAAAGACCCCGUGAACCUUUACUACAGCUUGACACUGAACAUUGAGCCUUGAUGUGUAGGAUAGGUGGGAGGCUUUGAAGCGUGGACGCCAGUCUGCGUGGAGCCGACCUUGAAAUACCACCCUUUAAUGUUUGAUGUUCUAACCUGGCGCCGUGAUCCGGCGUGGGGACAGUGUCUGGUGGGUAGUUUGACUGGGGCGGUCUCCUCCCAAAGUGUAACGGAGGAGCACGAAGGUCAGCUAAUCCUGGUCGGACAUCAGGAGGUUAGUGCAAUGGCAUAAGCUGGCUUGACUGCGAGAGUGACGGCUCGAGCAGGUGCGAAAGCAGGUCAUAGUGAUCCGGUGGUUCUGUAUGGAAGGGCCAUCGCUCAACGGAUAAAAGGUACUCCGGGGAUAACAGGCUGAUACCGCCCAAGAGUUCAUAUCGACGGCGGUGUUUGGCACCUCGAUGUCGGCUCAUCACAUCCUGGGGCUGAAGUAGGUCCCAAGGGUAUGGCUGUUCGCCAUUUAAAGUGGUACGCGAGCUGGGUUUAGAACGUCGUGAGACAGUUCGGUCCCUAUCUGCCGUGGGCGCUGGAGAAUUGAGGGGGGCUGCUCCCAGUACGAGAGGACCGGAGUGGACGCAUCACUGGUGUUCGGGUUGUCAUGCCAAUGGCACUGCCCGGUAGCUAAAUGCGGAAGAGAUAAGUGCUGAAAGCAUCUAAGCACGAAACUUGCCCCGAGAUGAGUUCUCCCUGAGACU